rnacentral:tRNA from 1 species
CGGUAGCUCAGAUGGAUAGAGCACCUGACUUCUAAUCAGGUGGUCGUGGGUUCGACUCCCGCCCG